rnacentral:sRNA from 1 species
AGCAGCCGCGGUAAUUCCAGCUCCAAUAGCGUAUAUUAAAGUUGUUGCAGUUAAAAAGCUCGUAGUUGAAUUUCGGGAUCAAUCUAUCGGUCGUGCAAUAGUACGUACUGAUUUUAUUGAUUCCUACCUUCUGAUGAACUAUGAUGUCAUUAAUUUGGUGUCAUAGGGAAUCAGGACUGUUACUUUGAAAAAAUUAGAGUGUUUAAAGCAGGCUCACGCUUGAAUACAUUAGCAUGGAAUAACGGAAUAGGACGUUUGAUUCUAUUUUGUUGGUUUCUAGGAUCGACGUAAUGAUUAAUAGGGAUAGUUGGGGGCAUUAGUAUUCAAUUGUCAGAGGUGAAAUUCUUGGAUUUAUUGAAGACUAACUACUGCGAAAGCAUUUGCCAAGGAUGUUUUCAUUAAUCAAGAACGAAAGUUAGGGGAUCGAAGACGAUCAGAUACCGUCGUAGUCUUAACCAUAAACUAUGCCGACUAGGGAUCGGAUGAUGUAAUUUUUUAAUGA